ACAUUCAGGAUUUUCUUCAUGUCGAAUAGAUCUUUCGCCUUUUACGAAAGAUUUCCUUUGAGGACCAUCAAGUGAAUUGUUACAAACUUGUGUGCUUCAGUGUGGGCUCCUCUGUU